AUAUCCUCAGAUGGGUCUCUUUCUGGUCCUCUCCCUGUGUGCUCACAUGACCGUCACAUUGUCCGCUCCGACCUCUGACCCUCCGACCUCUGACCCUCCGGGAGACGCCGAGACACCAGACGGUGAUCAGAUCUCCGGCGAAGCGGAAUUUAUCAAGGAUUCGCAAUCUGAAACAAACGCAGGCCGAAUCACAGACCCGAUCCCAACAGUUCAAGAAAGUUGUCUGGCGUGCUUCUUCGGAAUGCUACCCUUCGCCUGAGACCUCCGGGACACCGCAGGCGCGAUCCUCUAAUCAUGGGAAACACUUAUACUUGCUUGUGCAAAAGUUAAAGUACUGUAAAGUUUUAGUGUAUAAAUAAUAAAUGUAACACAUUGAUAUAUUAGUAAAUGGACACCCCUCCCCCCACCAGCAUUAGUGAUAGAUGAAUGCUGGUGGGGAGCUCUGACCUGCCUUCCACUGUGCACGCUCUAUACAAGGGGCACAAGGGGCACGCUCUGUAGUUGAUGUGAGUGAUUUUGUAGCGAUUUUAUCUUUGAUCAAUAAAUGAUUUGAUGCUAUGGCAA